AGAGUUUGAUCCUGGCUCAGAUUGAACGCUGGCGGUAUGCUUUACACAUGCAAGUCGAACGGCAGCACGGGGGCAACCCUGGUGGCGAGUGGCGAACGGGUGAGUAACAUAUCGGAACAUAUCCGGAAGUGGGGGAUAACGUAGCGAAAGUUACGCUAAUACCGCAUAUGCCCUGAGGGGGAAAGGGGGGGAUCGCAAGACCUCUCGCUUUCGGAGUGGCCGAUAUCAGAUUAGCUAGUUGGUGAGGUAAAGGCUCACCAAGGCGACGAUCUGUAGCUGGUCUGAGAGGACGACCAGCCACACUGGAACUGAGACACGGUCCAGACUCCUACGGGAGGCAGCAGUGGGGAAUUUUGGACAAUGGGCGCAAGCCUGAUCCAGCCAUACCGCGUGAGUGAAGAAGGCCUUCGGGUUGUAAAGCUCUUUCAGCCGGAAAGAAAUCGUGCAGAUUAACACCCUGUAUGGAUGACGGUACCUGAAGAAUAAGCACCGGCUAACUACGUGCCAGCAGCCGCGGUAAUACGUAGGGUGCAAGCGUUAAUCGGAAUUACUGGGCGUAAAGCGUGCGCAGGCGGUUUCGUAAGACAGACGUGAAAUCCCCGGGCUCAACCUGGGAACUGCGUUUGUGACUGCGAGGCUAGAGUACGGCAGAGGGGGGUAGAAUUCCACGUGUAGCAGUGAAAUGCGUAGAUAUGUGGAGGAAUACCGAUGGCGAAGGCAGCCCCCUGGGUCAAGACUGACGCUCAUGCACGAAAGCGUGGGGAGCAAACAGGAUUAGAUACCCUGGUAGUCCACGCCCUAAACGAUGAGUGCUAGGUGUGUCGGGUUUUAAUUAACUUGGUAACGCAGCUAACGCGUGAAGUAGACCGCCUGGGGAGUACGGUCGCAAGAUUAAAACUCAAAGGAAUUGACGGGGACCCGCACAAGCGGUGGAUGAUGUGGAUUAAUUCGACGCAACGCGAAAAACCUUACCUACCCUUGACAUGUACGGAAUCCUGGAGAGAUCCGGGAGUGCCCGAAAGGGAACCUGAACACAGGUGCUGCAUGGCUGUCGUCAGCUCGUGUCGUGAGAUGUUGGGUUAAGUCCCGCAACGAGCGCAACCCUUGUCCUUAGUUGCCAUCAUUAAGUUGGGCACUCUAAGGAGACUGCCGGUGUCAAACCGGAGGAAGGUGGGGAUGACGUCAAGUCCUCAUGGCCCUUAUGUCCAGGGCUACACACGUGCUACAAUGGCCGGUACAAAGAGUUGCGAUGCCGCGAGGUGGAGCCAAUCUCAAAAAGCCGGUCUCAGUUCGGAUUGGAGUCUGCAACUCGACUCCAUGAAGUUGGAAUCGCUAGUAAUCGCGGAUCAGCACGCCGCGGUGAAUACGUUCCCGGGCCUUGUACACACCGCCCGUCACACCACGGGAGUCGAUUGGUCCCGAAGUGCGUGAGCUAACCCGCAAGGGAGGCAGCGUCCUAAGGAAUGGUCGGUGACUGGGGUGAAGUCGUAACAAGGUAACCA
rnacentral:rRNA from 1 species